rnacentral:tRNA from 1 species
AGGGAUGUAGCUCUGUUGGUUAGAGUACGAAACUGAUAAUUUAGAGGUCAUCGGUUCAAGUCCGGUCAUCCCUA